UACAGAGGGGGCAAGCGUUAUUCGGAAUUAUUGGGCGUAAAGGGCGCGUAGGCGGCUUGGCAAGUGGAAGGUGAAAUCCCUCGGCUUAACCGAGGAACUGCCCUCCAAACUGCUUUGCUUGAGGCCGGGAGAGGUGAGUGGAAUUCCCAGUGUAGCGGUGAAAUGCGUAGAUAUUGGGAGGAACACCAGUGGCGAAGGCGGCUCACUGGACCGGUUCUGACGCUGAUGCGCGAAAGCCAGGGGAGCAAACGGG
rnacentral:rRNA from 1 species